UUGAAUAUUAACUUUCUUAAAAGUGAGUUGUUCUGUUUUGGUAGAGCCAAUGAGGAACGAGAGGCUUAUAGGCAAUUGUUUGGAUGCGAAUUGGGGGCAUUACCUUUUACGUACUUAGGUAUACCCAUUCACCAUCGUGAGCUGACAAACAUGGAAUGGAAGUGCAGCGAGGAUCGGUUUGAGAAGAAACUGAGUUGUUGGAAGGGCAAACUUAUGUCAUAUGGAGGCCGAUUGAUUCUUAUCAAUUCGGUGCUCACGAGUAUGCCAAUGUUUCUCUUAUCUUUCUUCGAAGACCCAGUUGGUGUUAGGAAAAGGCUGGACUUCUAUCGAUCCCGAUUCUUCUGGCUGAGUGAUGAACUUAAGAGAAAAUACCGAAUCGCCAAAUGGGAUAUCAUCUGUCGACCAAAGGACCAGGGGGGCUUG
rnacentral:rRNA from 1 species